rnacentral:misc_RNA from 1 species
GAUGAAGAACGUAGCGAAAUGCGAUACUUGGUGUGAAUUGCAGAAUCCCGUGAACCAUCGAGUCUUUGAACGCAAGUUGCGCCCGAAGCCAUUAGGCCGAGGGCACGCCUGCCUGGGCGUCACACGUCGUUGCCCCCCCAUCUACUCCUUCGGGAUUGCGGGGGGCGGAUGAUGGCCUCCCGUGCGCCUCGUCGCGCGGUUGGCAUAAAUGCCAAGUCCUCGGCGACGCACGCCACGACAAUCGGUGGUUGCGAAACCUCGGUUGCCCGUCGUGUGCGGUCAUCGCGCAUCGAGGGCUCGAAAAAAUUGCCGGGCUCCGGCUCGGCUUUCAACGCGACCCCAGGUCAGGCGGGGUUACCCGCUGAAUUUAAGCAUAUCAACAAGCGGAGGA